rnacentral:rRNA from 1 species
GACGUAGGUGACCAGCGUUGUCCGGAUUUACUGGGCGUAAAGAGCGCGCAGGCGGUCGUUCAAGUCGAGUGUGAAAGCCCCCGGCUCAACUGGGGAGGGUCACUCGAUACUGAUCGACUUGAAGGCAGGAGAGGGAAGCGGAAUUCCCGGUGUAGUGGUGAAAUGCGUAGAUAUCGGGAGGAACACCAGUGGCGAAGGCGGCUUCCUGGCCUGUUCUUGACGCUGAGGCGCGAAAGCUAGGGGAGCAAACGGG